UAGAAUCACUAAUACAUUUAUAAGUAGUGACCAUGCAAAAAUAUCUUUAAAUUUUGGAUAGUUUCAACUCUGAUUAUUGUCACGGACAAAACAUGCCCAUGAACAUUAGCUGCUUACAGGGUACUUAUAUUUAGGACCCAAAAAAAAAAAAAUUCUAAAAAAAUGUAAUGAAAUAAAAAGGAAGUGGCCAAAUCUGCAAUGAGAAAUCAAGAAGAAUCAUAAUCAACCAACGGCACCAACUUUACACCUUUGAAAAAAAGACACUACAUGGAUAGCUAUGAAAUAGAGCAAAUUAUACAGAUAGCCACUGAACUUUUUAAAAGAUUGAGUUUUAACCAUUCAAUUAUUAAUAGAAUUUUUUUUACAUUAAACUAUUAAAUAUAUAAAUUUUGGAUCAUUCCAUCGUUAACUCUGACAGAUCUAAUAUCUCAUAAAAUCGUGCUUAGAUCUGCCAGAGUUAAUAAUGGAAUCAGACGAAAUGACCCAAAAUUUAUACAUUUAAUAGUUCAAUGAAAAAAAUAAAACACUCUAUUAAUAGUUGAAUGGCUAAAACUCAACUAUUCAAAAAGUUCAGUGGCUAUCUAGAUAAUUUGCUCCUAUAAAAAAUUAUGUUACCCUAUAUUAAUCAGCUCGAAAACAAGAUUAACGGAUCAUUAAGGGAGAAUGAUCCUUCCUACCAAAAACAAAUCGCAACAAUCCAGAAAUCUGUGGGUUAGCUAGUGACCAGAAGUCAUAUAUAAGCGCCUCGUCAAUAACAAUAAAAUCCCGGCACGAUGAGAAAUUCAACGUGCUGAAUCAGUGAAAUUUGGUGGUGGUGAUGAGCUAGCAGAGGCUGAAGCAGAGGUCUUGUCAUGAUCACCCUUGCUAUCUCGGGAGUGAAAUAAACGCAAUGCCUUGGACAUGUUGCUGACGGACUCGGCCAAGUCCCCGACUAUUUUGGCCUUGAUCUGGCCCCUCUUAGGCGGAUGAGCAACCUGUUGUUUCUCCAGCUUGUUGCAUUGUUUCACGUCUUUAGCUCCUUCAUUCUCCAUUUCACCUGAGAAGCUGGUGCAAGAUGGAAUUAGUAGGGAACUUUCAGGGCAGAGUUUUGGGCUAUUAAUCACAAAUUGAGAAAAUGUUGAAUCCUCACAGUACCACAGAUGAAGAAAAAUUGAAGCUUUACGUAAAAGAGGGUGGUCUUUAGCUUUAUAAUAUAGGUGGAAUGCUGAAGAUCUUGGUUUUGUUUGGCGACUGAGCCAACCUUGACAGUAAUGAAGUUGUAAAUUUGAAUGAUCGUAGUGUCAAAUGACAGUGAAGAAGUCAAGAAGAAGAUACGUGGAAGAAGGAAGGAGGGUAGUCGCUCUGCGUGGUGAGGGCGUGACUUGGGAUGGAUCUACCUGGUGUCUCUGGUGUCUAGUGCUCCUCUUCUUCUCGU
rnacentral:lncRNA from 1 species